UGGUGUGAGGGUAAUCUGGCUGCCACAGCUAUCACCCAUUUGAUGGACAGGGUUGAUUCGAUUGGUCUCCUGGCUAGGUGGGCAGCUUCCUUCCCUCAUCAUUCUAGGUACAGGUUCAUUCCUCUAAAGCUGCAAAAGGGUUUGAAGAGAACGACCUUUUCCAAGAAAGGAAAACUGUUCUUCAACCAAGAGUAUAGGCAAACUUAUAGAAUCUUUAGUAAAGUAGGCACAUCCUGUUAGGGGUUAGAAAACAUUUUCUAUUAUA
ensembl:misc_RNA 7SK 7SK RNA